UUCCCCAGCUUAUUUCUUGGUCACUGCUGCUGAUGAUGCUGCUGCAUCUUUUUUUUCUCGAUCACAACCUUCACAAAUUCAACAAGUCAUUGAGUCUAUUGUUUGCCAGAAUACGCUUUGUACAUGUUAUUUCAUAAACAUUAUCCAGCCAGAUACACUCUUUCUGUGAAGCUACAUAUCAUCAAGAUCAUCAACGGUUGUUGGAUCCGAGAAUACAGACAAAUGCAUUUAUAGAUUUUUCAAACGUUACAUCAUAUUCAACUAAUCUUGGGCUAUGCUGAAAUCGAUGAAAUAAUGCAUAAUUGCAACGACAAAGAGUCGUAUGGGCAAUGUUCCAAAAAUGGUAUUAGACAAGAUUGUAAAUGUCCAUUGAAAUUUUUGUGACAUAUAGGCAAUUAAUCCUACAAUUUUUUUCAAACUCUGGAAAUGAGAAUUCUUUAAAUAAUAGCAGUAACUAUACAUAAAAAUCAUUCUAUUUGUCAUGAAAGUUGAAGUUUUAAUUAAAUUUAUGCUUCCAAUGAUUAAAAUUGAAGUUGAAAUAUUCAUCCUCAAGAAAAUUGCAUUCAAAUGAAGAUUCUUCCUAUUGGUAGUUUUUUAUUGAUUAAAAAACCCUAGAAAAUGAUAAAUAAAUUAAGUGGAAAUGUGUGGAAGUUAUUUAUUUAGAAAAGAGUUGAUGUGAGUGAAAGCUUUUGACAGUGAAAUUAACUAAAGGAUACGAGUGGCUGAUGACCACUGAUGCAAAGACUCGGGGGAGUAAAGAUACUAAUUCGCACACUCGGCAACUUCUCUCGGUGUCCGAUUAUAAACUUUCGGUCAACGCACUGAGUGCAAGUACAUUCUAAAAGGUGAUCAAAUGUUCCUCAUCUAAGAGUAGCUGACGGAUAUUUUAAUGGUUCAAUUACUGCUCUAUAUAAAUACUUUUAAUUCCUAUAGGAAUUUGUUAACACAAGCAGUUAUUUAUUCUUCAAUCUAUAAACAAAAGAAUAUUUGUUAACAGUCAAUAAGAACAUUACAUAUAAAUAACUGGAUGGAAAUUGAUAUUUUUAGAAUGCUUAUAAUUUUUAAAAUCACAUUCAUUUUUGAAGAAUGAAAUUAUGAUCAAACUUUAUAAAUGUAAUUAUCUCGAAUUCUAAUUUUUUUCUGCAUUAGAGAAGUGUGAUUGAAUUAUAAUCUAAUAAU